rnacentral:lncRNA from 1 species
AGCGCGGGCUGGAAGCCAGAGAGCGGGCGGCCUGAGGAACUCAGCCAGCGCAGUCGGAGCCGCGCGGUCAAGACCACACGACCGCAGCCCCGAAGCCCCGCCCCGAAGCCCCAGUCCCGCCCCUUAGGCUCCGCUCCGAAGCCCCGAAACCCCGCCCCUACGUCCCGCCUCCGCCCGCAGCCUGGGGUCCGCCCAACCCCAGGCCCACUGCGUCCUCAGGGGUGGUGCCUCCACAGCUGUUUCUCCUUAGUCAUUUCACGAACUUGUAUGGGCCCCCCACUAUAUCUCAGGCCUGGGGGUUUAGGAGAUACAGCGGCCACCAAGACGGAGGCGGGUCCUAAUCAAAGGAGAAGACAGACAAGACUCAAGGAAACAGCUAAUAGACAAAAUAAUGACAAGUUAUGGCCGUAAGUGUUGGGAGGGACAUGAUUAGAGGACUUAGAUGGAGAAGAAGGGAAGGGAGCCCCUGCUCCAAACGCAGUGGCCGAGGAAGACCUGGACCCCGACCUGCGGCCAGAGCUCCUCCUGCCUGCCCUGCAUUGGGGAGACAACCCUGCGAUGAGGCCUGUGAAGAAGCCCCCGGGGCCACCGGGGCAAGACGGUCUGGUCCGGCCUGACGGGCAAGACAGCAAAGGGCUGCUGGGCCCAGAAGCUCAGCAACACGGGCAGCCAGGUGGAGAGAAGGGCAGAGCUACCUUCAGCAGACAAAACGACCCAUGCAAAGGCUCUGGGGCCUGGAGGAGCUCGACCCUAGAUGAGACUGGCGCUGGUAUUGUCCCCACUUCACCAGGAAGGAAGCCAAGGCUGCAGAGGAUGGGCAGCACCUAACGCCUCAGGGCUAAUUGGUCUCCAUCCGUCCACUCGUUCCAAGUCCAUUCACUUCCUGCUAGCCAGGCCACUGUCCCCUUCCGGUGGGACCAGUUACCUGAUGCUGGGUUUAACCUUCUCCACCAGAAUAACCACUGGCCUUAGAAACUCACUUGGGUUUCACGUCUGCAUGUGUGUGAGCUAGCUCUGGGGUUGAAAUUGUAUCAGCAUGAUCAUCACAGUUAUAUCUGAUACUUGAUUUGUCUCCAAAAGCUCAAAUUGAUAGGUUAAAUAAAUGACAUAUGCUUCAUCAACAUAACUGAGUGCUACAUUAUCAAAUUCACAAAGACUAGGUGAGAAUACAGGGAAAUGUGUGUGAAAAUGAUCAAUACACAAACUAGUACACAUGAUAUCCUGAUUUUAUUUUUAAAAACAUAAAUAUAUACAGACAAAAAUUUUGAAGGAAAUACAUCAAACCAUUGACCAUCGUGUUCAAGAUAACAGUAUGGGAAUGUUAAUGGCAUUACUUCAUAACGUUCUUCUGAAUUUUCAUGAAUAUUGAAUUUAUAAUCAGAACACAUAAAUAUUGAAUUUAUAAUCAGAAAAA